rfam:Gossypium hirsutum cultivar TM-1 chromosome 24, whole genome shotgun sequence
UGUUAAAAAAAUUAUCCAUUUAUUAUUAAAAACUAGCAUUGUUAGUGGAAUAACUAAAUAGUGAAUGUGACGUGCUACAUGUGCUUCAUUUUGGUAUAUGAAUAAGUUUUUAAUAGUACAAAUGAAUGAAUUUUUUAAUA